UCCUGGUUGCGAUCUUUCAUGAAAACAGGGGAUUGGGUUGACCCGGUUUAGUAACCUGAUGGAGUUGUAAUCAAGCUAAGGCUAUAAUUAAAUAGGUUUUGGUCCUGAUUAGAUAAUUAUUUUUAUAUGGAAAAAAGGUUUGAUUAACUUUUUUUAUUAAGUCCCGAUCUUGUUUUUGGUCUUGUCGAGUCCGGUCUGAAGC
rnacentral:lncRNA from 1 species